GGCUGAAAUUACGCCUUCCAUGAAGCCGGAAUUGCUAGUAAUGGCAGGUCAGCAUACUGCCGUGAAUACGUUCCCGGGCCUUGUACACACCGCCCGUCACACCAUGAGAGUUGGGAAUACCCGAAGCCUGUGAGCUAACUUUACGAGGCAGCAGUCGAAGGUAGAAUCAAUGAUUGGGGUGAAGUCGUAACAAGGUAGC
rnacentral:rRNA from 1 species